UACGUAGGGGGCAAGCGUUGUCCGGAAUCAUUGGGCGUAAAGCGCGUGUAGGCGGUUCGGUAAGUCGGCUGUGAAAGUCCAGGGCUCAACCCUGGGAUGCCGGUCGAUACUGCCGGACUAGAGUUCGGAAGAGGCGAGUGGAAUUCCCGGUGUAGCGGUGAAAUGCGCAGAUAUCGGGAGGAACACCAAUGGCGAAGGCAGCUCGCUGGGACGUUACUGACGCUGAGACGCGAAAGCGUGGGGAGCAACAGG
rnacentral:rRNA from 1 species